UGAGGAAUAUUGGGCAAUGCCCGCAAGGGUGGCCCAGCAACGCCGCGUGGAGGAUGAAUGUCGUAAGAUUGUAAACUCCUGUUAGAGGGGAAGAAUAGUACCGGUUGGACCGGUAUAUGACUGUACCCUCAGAGAAAGCCCCGGCUAACUACGUGCCAGCAGCCGCGGUAAUACGUAGGGGGCAAGCGUUGUCCGGAUUUACUGGGUGUAAAGGGCGCGCAGGCGGGAUAAAAAGUCAGUGGUGAAAUCCUACAGCUUAACUGUAGAACUGCCUUUGAUACUUUCAUUCUUGAGUUCGGGAGAGAGAGACGGAAUUCCAGGUGUAGUGGUGAAAUACGUAGAUAUCUGGAAGAACACCAGUUGCGAAGGCGGUCUCUUGGUCCGAUACUGACGCUGAGGCGCGAAAGCGUGGGGAGCAAACA
rnacentral:rRNA from 1 species